rnacentral:lncRNA from 10 species
AGAGCAUGUGAGAUACAGGACUACAGGACAGGAAAAAAAGGACUCUGCUAAGGCCAUGAAGCCCAGGAACUUUCUCCACAUUCUCUAAUCUUUACACAGUCCUAAAGGAGGCUGUUGCAAUUAGGAUGGCGAAUGGUGAAAAACAGUGUGGUUGAAUUGAACAUAAGCUGAAGGGCUAGACAUCAUGGCUUCAAUCCUUGUGGAGAUGAAGACGCUGAGGUUAAGAAACAAGUGACUGCUAUGAGAUCAUAAAGAAAAUGCAUAAGUGGUGGAAACAAUUAGAAAAUAGGUGUUUUGAUUUUAAGUUGCA